rnacentral:misc_RNA from 1 species
UCGAAACGUAAGGUCUGGGAGGGAAGGGGGGAGCGUCGACGGCCCGAGACUGUCGCCCGCGUGUGCACGUCCAUCGCCGUUGCUCUCCUCGACCCUUUCGAGGCUUCGACCUUCUUGACACCUGUGUGCACUCGCUGUAGGUCCUUCGGGAUCUACGUCUCCUUUCGACUAGCAUGUCCAUAGAACGUAUUCGCCGUGUCCCGGCCUCGACCCUCAGGGUCCCGCGUCGGCGACCGCAAAACCUAUUA